rnacentral:rRNA from 1 species
CCCGGGACUUCGGUUCCAAUGGGAAAGUGGCGAACGGGUGCGUAACACGUGAGAAACCUGUCCCGGAGAUGGGAAUAGCCCAGGGAAACCUGGAUUAAUACCCAAUACCCUGAGAGCGUCGCAUGGCGCAUUCAGGAAAGGUUCCGGCGCUUUGGGAGGGUCUCGCGGCCUAUCAGCUUGUUGGUGAGGUAAAGGCUCACCAAGGCAUCGACGGGUAGCUGGUCUGAGAGGACGAUCAGCCACACUGGGACUGAGACACGGCCCAGACUCCUACGGGAGGCAGCAGUAGGGAAUCUUGCGCAAUGGGCGAAAGCCUGACGCAGCAACGCCGCGUGGGGGAAGAAGGCCCUCGGGUCGUAAACCCCUUUCAGCAGGGACGAAAUUGACGGUACCUGCAGAAGAAGCGCCGGCCAACUACGUGCCAGCAGCCGCGGUAAUACGUAGGGCGCAAGCGUUGUCCGGAUUUAUUGGGCGUAAAGGGCUCGUAGGCGGUUCGGUAAGUCGGGUGUGAAAACUCAGGGCUCAACUCUGAGACGCCACUCGAUACUGCCAUGACUAGAGUCCGGUAGAGGAGUGCGGAAUUCCUGGUGUAGCGGUGAAAUGCGCAGAUAUCAGGAGGAACACCAACAGCGAAGGCAGCACUCUGGGCCGGUACUGACGCUGAGGAGCGAAAGCGUGGGGAGCAAACAGGAUUA